ACUAAGCGUACACGGUGGAUGCCCUGGCAGUCAGAGGCGAUGAAGGACGUGCUAAUCUGCGAUAAGCGUCGGUAAGGUGAUAUGAACCGUUAUAACCGGCGAUUUCCGAAUGGGGAAACCCAGUGUGUUUCGACACACUAUCAUUAACUGAAUCCAUAGGUUAAUGAGGCGAACCGGGGGAACUGAAACAUCUAAGUACCCCGAGGAAAAGAAAUCAACCGAGAUUCCCCCAGUAGCGGCGAGCGAACGGGGAGGAGCCCAGAGCCUGAAUCAGUGUGUGUGUUAGUGGAAGCGUCUGGAAAGGCGCGCGAUACAGGGUGACAGCCCCGUACACAAAAAUGCACAUGCUGUGAGCUCGAUGAGUAGGGCGGGACACGUGGUAUCCUGUCUGAAUAUGGGGGGACCAUCCUCCAAGGCUAAAUACUCCUGACUGACCGAUAGUGAACCAGUACCGUGAGGGAAAGGCGAAAAGAACCCCGGCGAGGGGAGUGAAAAAGAACCUGAAACCGUGUACGUACAAGCAGUGGGAGCACGCUUAGGCGUGUGACUGCGUACCUUUUGUAUAAUGGGUCAGCGACUUAUAUUCUGUAGCAAGGUUAACCGAAUAGGGGAGCCGAAGGGAAACCGAGUCUUAACUGGGCGUUAAGUUGCAGGGUAUAGACCCGAAACCCGGUGAUCUAGCCAUGGGCAGGUUGAAGGUUGGGUAACACUAACUGGAGGACCGAACCGACUAAUGUUGAAAAAUUAGCGGAUGACUUGUGGCUGGGGGGGGAAGGGCCAAUCAAACCGGGAGAUAGCUGGUUCUCCCCGAAAGCUAUUUAGGUAGCGCCUCGUGAAUUCAUCUCCGGGGGUAGAGCACUGUUUCGGCAAGGGGGUCAUCCCGACUUACCAACCCGAUGCAAACUGCGAAUACCGGAGAAUGUUAUCACGGGAGACACACGGCGGGUGCUAACGUCCGUCGUGAAGAGGGAAACAACCCAGACCGCCAGCUAAGGUCCCAAAGUCAUGGUUAAGUGGGAAACGAUGUGGGAAGGCCCAGACAGCCAGGAUGUUGGCUUAGAAGCAGCCAUCAUUUAAAGAAAGCGUAAUAGCUCACUGGUCGAGUCGGCCUGCGCGGAAGAUGUAACGGGGCUAAACCAUGCACCGAAGCUGCGGCAGCGACGCUGAUGCGUUGUUGGGUAGGGGAGCGUUCUGUAAGCCUGUGAAGGUGUGCUGUGAGGCAUGCUGGAGGUAUCAGAAGUGCGAAUGCUGACAUAAGUAACGAUAAAGCGGGUGAAAAGCCCGCUCGCCGGAAGACCAAGGGUUCCUGUCCAACGUUAAUCGGGGCAGGGUGAGUCGACCCCUAAGGCGAGGCCGAAAGGCGUAGUCGAUGGGAAACAGGUUAAUAUUCCUGUACUUGGUGUUACUGCGAAGGGGGGACGGAGAAGGCUAUGUUGGCCGGGCGACGGUUGUCCCGGUUUAAGCGUGUAGGCUGGUUUUCCAGGCAAAUCCGGAAAAUCAAGGCUGAGGCGUGAUGACGAGGCACUACGGUGCUGAAGCAACAAAUGCCCUGCUUCCAGGAAAAGCCUCUAAGCAUCAGGUAACAUCAAAUCGUACCCCAAACCGACACAGGUGGUCAGGUAGAGAAUACCAAGGCGCUUGAGAGAACUCGGGUGAAGGAACUAGGCAAAWUGGUGCCGUAACUUCGGGAGAAGGCACGCUGAUAUGUAGGUGAAGUCCCUCGCGGAUGGAGCUGAAAUCAGUCGAAGAUACCAGCUGGCUGCAACUGUUUAUUAAAAACACAGCACUGUGCAAACACGAAAGUGGACGUAUACGGUGUGACGCCUGCCCGGUGCCGGAAGGUUAAUUGAUGGGGUCAGCGCAAGCGAAGCUCUUGAUCGAAGCCCCGGUAAACGGCGGCCGUAACUAUAACGGUCCUAAGGUAGCGAAAUUCCUUGUCGGGUAAGUUCCGACCUGCACGAAUGGCGUAAUGAUGGCCAGGCUGUCUCCACCCGAGACUCAGUGAAAUUGAACUCGCUGUGAAGAUGCAGUGUACCCGCGGCAAGACGGAAAGACCCCGUGAACCUUUACUAUAGCUUGACACUGAACAUUGAGCCUUGAUGUGUAGGAUAGGUGGGAGGCUUAGAAGUGUGGACGCCAGUCUGCAUGGAGCCGACCUUGAAAUACCACCCUUUAAUGUUUGAUGUUCUAACGUUGACCCGUAAUCCGGGUUGCGGACAGUGUCUGGUGGGUAGUUUGACUGGGGCGGUCUCCUCCUAAAGAGUAACGGAGGAGCACGAAGGUUGGCUAAUCCUGGUCGGACAUCAGGAGGUUAGUGCAAUGGCAUAAGCCAGCUUGACUGCGAGCGUGACGGCGCGAGCAGGUGCGAAAGCAGGUCAUAGUGAUCCGGUGGUUCUGAAUGGAAGGGCCAUCGCUCAACGGAUAAAAGGUACUCCGGGGAUAACAGGCUGAUACCGCCCAAGAGUUCAUAUCGACGGCGGUGUUUGGCACCUCGAUGUCGGCUCAUCACAUCCUGGGGCUGAAGUAGGUCCCAAGGGUAUGGCUGUUCGCCAUUUAAAGUGGUACGCGAGCUGGGUUUAGAACGUCGUGAGACAGUUCGGUCCCUAUCUGCCGUGGGCGCUGGAGAACUGAGGGGGGCUGCUCCUAGUACGAGAGGACCGGAGUGGACGCAUCACUGGUGUUCGGGUUGUCAUGCCAAUGGCACUGCCCGGUAGCUAAAUGCGGAAGAGAUAAGUGCUGAAAGCAUCUAAGCACGAAACUUGCCCCGAGAUGAGUUCUCCCUGACUCCUUGAGAGUCCUGAAGGAACGUUGAAGACGACGACGUUGAUAGGCCGGGUGUGUAAGCGCAGCGAUGCGUUGAGCUAACCGGUACUAAUGAACCGUGAGGCUUAACC
rnacentral:rRNA from 1 species